rnacentral:rRNA from 1 species
UGUCUCCUGGAAACGGGUGGUAAUGCCGGAUGCUCCAUCACACCGCAUGGUGUGUUGGGAAAGCCUUUGCGGCAUGGGAUGGGGUCGCGUCCUAUCAGCUUGAUGGCGGGGUAACGGCCCACCAUGGCUUCGACGGGUAGCCGGCCUGAGAGGGCGACCGGCCACAUUGGGACUGAGAUACGGCCCAGACUCCUACGGGAGGCAGCAGUGGGGAAUAUUGCACAAUGGGCGCAAGCCUGAUGCAGCGACGCCGCGUGAGGGAUGGAGGCCUUCGGGUUGUAAACCUCUUUUGUUAGGGAGCAAGGCAUUUUGUGUUGAGUGUACCUUUCGAAUAAGCACCGGCUAACUACGUGCCAGCAGCCGCGGUAAUACGUAGGGUGCAAGCGUUAUCCGGAAUUAUUGGGCGUAAAGGGCUCGUAGGCGGUUCGUCGCGUCCGGUGUGAAAGUCCAUCGCUUAACGGUGGAUUCGCGCCGGGUACGGGCGGGCUUGAGUGCGGUAGGGGAGACUGGAAUUCCCGGUGUAACGGUGGAAUGUGUAGAUAUCGGGAAGAACACCA